AACGUCAAACGUGACAAGGUCCAAUUAAACAGUAAUUAAAACACAUUCCCAAGGUUCAAACAAUUUGAUUUUAGUGCCUUAUCAUAUAGCUCAAUUAUCGUUUAAGGCAUAAGUCCAAAGUCAUCCAUUUCAUAACUACUUAAACACAUUUAAAUAAUCAUAAAGGAAUGCAACAUAAACAUUUAGAUUUAGUGCAUAUGGGCAUAAUAAUAUUAUGAGUUUAAACAACUAACAAAAUUAAAAUCAAAUAUUUUAACUUUCUAGUUAGUAGGGGCCUAAAUGUAAAUAUGAAAAGUUAGGGGUAAAACCGUAAAUAUUUCAAAGUAAAUAUCAACUUCUCAAAGAUUACAAAAUAGCCCCACAAGUGGAUAAAUCCACUAGGGAGGCCGGCCACUUAAUGGGGGAUGGGAAGUCUCACCCAUCAAGCUUUAAUUCAAUGCAAAGAAGAAAAAUCCAAAUUUGCUUGUCACUUGGUUUUGGCAUUAAAUGGUUUUAAUGAAAAAGUGAUGGAAAUAUCCUAGACAAGUCUAGGGUUUUAAAAGGUUUUGAUAUGGUUAUGGAUGGUAAGAACAUCAUCCAAACCAUGAAACCAUGCAUGAAAACCAACUAAAAACAUUUUCACCCAAAACCAAACUAUGAACACCAAGAACAAAACCAUGAACACAAUUUCAAGAUUUGUACAUUCUUGGUGAUUUUUCAAACCCAAAAACAAAAGUGACAAGAACUUUUUUUUUUAGCUUUAAAAGGACGUGUGAGUGGUUUACAAUAAAACACAAACACAACCCAAAACCACCCCCAAAACCGUGCCUACCCUUAGCAACAAAACCCCAAAUUUUGUUCAUGACUUAUUCUUCAUUCAUGCAUACAAAACAACUUUUACAUGCAUAUCUUUUUCAACUCUUGAUUUAUAUUUUUUUCAACCAUUGAAAAACAAAAGACAAACAUACUUUUAAAUGAAGAAAUAAUAUGUCAUACUAGUCUUAAACUCAUUUUUCAUUCAUGCAUACAAAACACUUUUGCAUACAUAUCUUUCUCAACUUUUGACUAACAUUUUUCAACUAUUGAAAAACAAAAGAUAAACAUACUUUGAAUGAAACAAUAAUAUGUCAUACAUAACAUUAAUACCCAUAUGCAUAAAAUCCAAAAGGACACAUUAUACAUAAACCUUUGGCUCUGAUACCACUUGAAGGGAAAACUAUGAGAUUCUAGCAUGGGAUUUCAUAAUGACUAUCAUGCAUAUCCAAAUCAAAUUUAAUAUACGAAAGCAGCGGAAGCAUUUAUAACAAAUUAUCAAAGCUAUAGUCAUGCAAAUCCCCUUCAAGGUUCAUAGGUUUAUAUAUAAUGCAUCAAAACAAUUUAUAGAAUCAAGAACAAAGUGAAGGUUAGUCUUAUACCUCUUGAUCUAGACUUGAGACCAAGGAUGGACCACCUCCAAGCCCUUUGCUCCUUGAAAUCCUUGAGCCUAGCUUCCCUCCUUGCCUCCUCCACUUUGAAAGAAUGAGUGCUCCUAAGUUCUCUUCAAGCUUCCAAAGUAGGAAACCUCUAAAGAUCCUCACCCACUAGUGUAGUGAGAAGGAUGAAGGAAUAACCAAAAGGGUGAAAGAUUGUUAGCUAAAAACACCCCAAUGGUGGCCGGCCCUUUGAUGUGUUAGAGAGCUUUUUUCUUUUGCCUCUUUGUUGUUUAAACACUUCAAAAAACCCUAAUGAACUUUAUCACUAUAAAGUUCCUUAUAUAGACAAAAGAAAACCUAGUCAACACUUG
rnacentral:lncRNA from 1 species